AUUGAACGCUGGCGGCAUGCUUUACACAUGCAAGUCGAACGGUAACAGGUUAAGCUGACGAGUGGCGAACGGGUGAGUAAUGCAUCGGAACGUGCCCGGUCGUGGGGGAUAACGCAGCGAAAGCUGCGCUAAUACCGCAUACGAUCUGAGGAUGAAAGCGGGGGACCGUAAGGCCUCGCGCGAUCGGAGCGGCCGAUGUCAGAUUAGGUAGUUGGUGGGGUAAAGGCUCACCAAGCCAACGAUCUGUAGCUGGUCUGAGAGGACGACCAGCCAGACUGGGCAUGAGACACGGCCCAGACUCCUACUGGAGGCAGCAGUGGGGAAUGUUGGACAAUGGGCGAAAGCCUGAUCCAGCAAUGCCGCGUGCAGGAAGAAGGCCUUCGGGUUGUAAACUGCUUUUGUACGGAGCGAAAAGGUCUCCUCUAAUACAGGGGGCUCAUGACGGUACCGUAAGAAUAAGCACCGGCUAACUACGUGCCAGCCGCCGCCGUAA
rnacentral:rRNA from 1 species